GCAAAGCUAUGGAGACAUAGUGGAGGUUAUCAGGGAGACAGGUGGUGCAUGGUUGUCGUCAGUUCGUGUCGUGAGAUGUUGGGUUAAGUCCCGCAACGAGCGCAACCCUUAUUGCUAGUUACCAUCAUUCAGUUGGGGACUCUAGCGAGACUGCCAGUGAUAAACUGGAGGAAGUGGGGAUGACGUCAAAUCAUCAUGCCCCUUAUGACCUGGGCUACAAACGUGAUACAAUGGCUGAAACAAAGGGCAGCGAAGCAGUGAUGUGGAGCGAAACCCAAAAAAGCAGUCUCAGUUCGGAUUGAAGUCUGCAACUCGACUUCAUGAAGUCGGAAUCGCUAGUAAUCGCGGAUCAGAACGCCGCGGUGAAUACGUUCUCGGGGUUU
rnacentral:rRNA from 1 species